GGUAUGUGGGUGGGUUCCAUGUAGGUUUACGUAGCUAUAAAUUAGUAGUAAUUUACAGUUCUGUUCAUAGCACAGCUGAAAUGGAAUGUGGGAUAGAAUGAUGUUACCCAACCCACUAGUCAGCUAACAUGUCCAAUUGGUCUAUUAACCAUCCUCCAGGAGUCUAGACUAGACUAGAGCAUGGUGAAUAUAGAGUAGAGGACUGACUGUCUGUUAACCCUCCUCCAGUAGUCUAGACUAGAGCAUGGUGAAUAUAGAGUAGAGGACUGUCUGUUAACCCUCCUCCCAUGGUCUAGACUAGAGCAUGGUGAAUAUAGAGUAGAGGACUGACUGUCUGUUAACACUCCUCCAGAGUUCCAGCACUAGAGCAUGGUGAAUAUAGAGUAGAGGAAUGUCUGUCUGGUUAAACCCUCCUCCAGUCAGACUAGACUAGAGCAUGGGUGAUAUAGAGUAGAGACUGACUGUCGGUUAACCUCCUCAGGAGUCUAGACUUAGAGCAUGGUGAAUUAGAGUAGAGGACUGACUGCUGUUAACACUCCUCAGGAGUCUAGACUAGACUAGAGCAUGGUGAAUAUAGAGUAGAGAGCUGGACUUUCUGUUACCCCCCUCCAGGAGUCUAGACUUGAGCAUGGUGAUAUAGAAGUAGAGAGCUGACUGUCUGUUAACCCUCCUCCAGUAGACUAGACUAGUAGCAUGGUGAAUAUAGAGUAGAGGACUGACUGUCUGUUAACCCUCCUCAGGAGUCUAGACUAGACUAGACAUGGUGAAUAUAGAGUAGAGGACUGACUGUCUGUUAACACUCCUCCAGGAGUCUAGACUAGACUAGAGCAUGGUGAAUAUGAGAGUAAGGACUGACUGUCGUUAACCCUCCUCCAGUAGUCUAGACUAAGAGCAUAGGUGAAUAUGAGUAGAGGACUGACUUCUGUUAACCCUCCUCCAGUAGUCUAGAUUAGAGCAUGGUGUAAGAUAGAGUUAGGACUGUCUGUUAACCCCCUCCAGGAGUCUAGACUAGACUACAUGUGAAUAUAGAG
rnacentral:lncRNA from 1 species